rnacentral:rRNA from 1 species
GGGGGAAUAUUGGGCAAUGGGCGAAAGCCUGACCCAGCGACGCCGCGUGGGUGAUGAAGGCCUUCGGGUUGUAAAGCCCUGUCAUGCGGAAAGAACGACCCUGAGACGCAUACUCUCAGGGAGUGACGGUACCGCAGGAGGAAGCACCGGCUAACUCCGUGCCAGCAGCCGCGGUAAUACGGAGGGUGCAAGCGUUGUUCGGAAUUAUUGGGCGUAAAAGGCGCGUAGGCGGUAAUGUAAGUCAGAUGUGAAAUACUCCGGCUCAACCAGAGAACAGCAUCUGAAACUGCAUAACUAGAGUACAGAAGAGGGAAACGGAAUUCCCGGUGUAGAGGUGAAAUUCGUAGAUAUCGGGAGGAACACCAGUGGCGAAGGCGGUUCCCUGGUCUGAUACUGACGCUGAGGCGCGAAAGCGUGGGGAGCAAACAG